rnacentral:tRNA from 1 species
GGAUGUGGCUCAAGCGGUAGUGCGCUCGCCUGCCAUGCGUGGGGCACUGGGUUCAAUACUCAGCACCA